rnacentral:misc_RNA from 1 species
AAGACUAUAGACCUGCGGAGUACCUGCGGAGGGAUCAUUGCCACACUACGAUCCAAGAUCGACACUAUAAAAUGUGAACUGUUAAAUGUUAUUAUAUGUUGUUUCUAGUUGGUGAAACUAACAGCUUGCCACUAUAAAUAAUAUAUAUAUUUUUUAACACUAAACUUAACCAAAACCAUAUGAAAAAAUCAUUGGAAACUUUUCCAAGAGUAAUAACUCUAGAAAUCUUAAUUGUAAAAC